AGCUCUGCCUUCUUGGAUUGAGCACCCACUUUGUCCCUGGCACUGUGCUCGAGACAUCCCCUAAGUCAUUACUUAAUCAAUAUCGUACAUGUCGUUUUCAUAGUAAUCCCAUACUUUUAAAGAAGAGAAAGAAUGAAAAUAUGCUGGGAGUCUGAGGGACAGUGCAAGAAUGGAGGAGAAAAUCAAGAGGAGGCUCGUGCUGGGCACACGGAGACUCAGAGCCCAGACCUGAAAAGGACAGACAGGGAGAGUGAGGUGCUCAGACUGACAGUGGUCCAGGGGUUCUUGCCCUCCUGUGCCCCAUUUCGCACUCAUUUUUGUCAUUCAAACCUUAAAUCCAACGCUUUUAUGAUAAAAGUUUUGUUUUGUUUUGUUUUGUUUUGUUUAAGAAAUUAGAUGAAUUGUAAAUGGCUUGGUAAGUGGCAGCACCAAGGUAACUGUUAGAUAUAACACAAAUGCUGACAGCUCCUGAAGAAGAUUAAGGUUUUUGCAUGUCAUAAGUAUAAACUAUCAAAACAUUAUCGGCUCAAGUUUUUUCCAGUAUGAUUCAAUGAAUUUUCCAAUUCUCCCUAUUUCCCCUUCCCUAAAUACACCCGCCUUACCUCAUUCAGUUUUCUUGAAAAGCUUUCCAUCCUGACUCUGGUAUAUUAUUUCUUCUAAGGAAAAAAAAAACGCUUACAACCAGAUUGCUGAUGUAAGGACUGAAAAUGGACAGAAUGCAGUAAUUUCCUCCGGGGAGGUAGCUGGAGGACGUGAGAAAACGAUCAGAGCAGUGGCCCGUACGGGGAUCGAACCCGCGACCUUGGCGUUAUUAGCACCACGCUCUAACCAACUGAGCUAACCGGCCACCCUUAGGCACAGUCUUUUACUUACUUCUUUUAAAGUUAAUUUAAUGAAAGUCAGUGACUUUGCUCUUGCCCAAAUGCUGCUGCUGCUGCUGCUACUACUACUAACUAAAAGAAAAAAGUUUGUUUUUUAAUCAAAAAAGGAAAAAAUAAAUCUCAGCUGCCGUCACGGAUGAACGUACUUCUCCCUGGAAAAACUCAGUCUUUCUCAAAACGACAGAUGAAGCCUCAAAUAACUGUCCCGGAGCAACUACUUCCUUGCAGCUCUUCCUAGAAGGUCCGGGGCAAACGCGAAGCUGCUGCAAGCCUGAGAUGGCGGAGGGCAAAUCACGGAACUGACCACAAAACCCCCCGGCGCAGCGCUCGGAGUGCAAAUUUUCUGCUCCUGGAGAUCGUCUGGGCAGGUCACCUCUUGCCAGAGGCCUUUAGUCGCUUGGCUUCAGGUUAACUCUUGCGCUGUGCGUCCAGAGGUAGAAAAGGCUGCAGUGCCGUCAUAGGACACUUGGUGGCGCCCAAUUGAGGGUCUGAGGACGCAAAAGGACUGGGAGGAUUGCCCCUCUAUCUGAUCUCUCUGAUCUCUCGUCAUCCCCAAAGAAUGACAAGGGACGUCGAGAUCAGGAUUUCAACUCGCUUAUACUUCCAAAUAACAAAAUCGUCGCGCUUGCUCUUUGUCUGAAACUAAGAACUAUCAUGAGAGUCCCGCCCUGGUGCAUCGCUUCUCUCUCUGCUGGGGUCCCUCCGGGCCUGCCAGGGUCCCUGGGAAAGUACCAGUGGAAGGAGAUGAACUGGCGCCCCGGAAAAGGUUGCUCUCUUUGGAAUUUAGAUUUCUAUGAAAAGAGGCUUCACCAGGAACCGACCGUGAGGGCACCUUUCUUUUGAACCUGAUCUGUUGCAGAAAAGUCUCCCAGAUUCAAGCCAACUUUGAAUGAAGAGAAAUCCAGUUUCCUAGGGAAAGACCACUGGCACAUUGCCAAAAACUUUAAAAUAUGUUUAAAAUUUUUUAAUUUAUUCUUAUUCCUAGCCUUUCCUAAAGGGACCGGAGCCCAUUUACCAAAGUGAUUGUGCACUGGGGGCAAGUAAAUGGAUUUUUCAGGGAUUACCAGAGAAAUGACUCUGACCUGGUUUUAAUUCCUAGAGAUACAAAACAGCACUGCUGUCCUCCAGGCAAAGUAGGUAAUCUUGAAGGUCAGAAAGCCAAUGAAGUUUUGCUUCUGGUCCCUUUCACUGUGGGCACAGAAGGUCCCUGAGCCCAUCCUGUGGUUACCUCUCCAAUUUCAGACAAAAUUUCUAUAUUUUUUCUAUGACUAAUGGAAUGAAGGCUAUUAUGGCCUAAAAGACCAAUCAGAACAAGUCACCAGAAAUUCUUCUAUGAAAUAAUUAAACGUAACACAAUCAGUCCCAACAUCAAGAACUUGAAAGAGGUAGGAGGGCAGAGAGUCUCUUCAACUUGCUCAUUCACCUGCAGAAGAUAAGUGGGCUAUAGAAAAUGAGUUAUUGUUAACCCUGUCAAGUGAUUAUUUCAAUUGCAUCUGCUAUUUCGGGUGUCAUUUCAUUGAUGGAGAAAAUUAAUGAACUGGCAACUGGUAAGAAGAUACUGACAUGGUGUUCCAGACACUCGGGGCAGCAUGGAAGGAACUCAAGGUGAAGCUGGGAAAAGGAAACACAAAUAUGCAAAGGAGACUUUCAUUACAUCAACAGAAUGGUGUUGGAUGCUUGAGAUCCCAAGGGCUGCCAGAGCUCCCAGUACCAGAAAGCAAAACUCUUUUCCUCUUUUCCAAGACCCAACUCACUUUGUCACCACUUAUGCUCAAGAGAAGGCACUUCUUUUAGUGGAUCUGAAAAGCAAGAGGAGUAAUAGAGGGUUGAAAAGGCAGUGUACAAAGUAGAAGGAGACAAUCAGGUGGAUGAAGCAGCACUUAAUCGCCACACGGAGACUCAGAAACUCAGGGGACUGAUUCUGGAAAAGGGACGAGAAGAAAAGGGAGUACUCAGAUGGUCAGUGACCAUCAGACACCCAUCUCACUUCCAAUGCCACCCGUAAUCUAGUAUCGUCAUUUUCUUUACUAGAAUUUCUAUCUGAAGGCUUUAUUCCAUUUUCCCUUAAGUUGAUUUCUCUGUUUCCCGGGGGACCGGGGUAGGGGGUGGGGUGGCAAGGAAGGUAGGUGUCACUACUGUAGAACAAAUGAA